GAUGAACGCUGGCGGCGUGCCUAAUACAUGCAAGUCGAACGCUUCACAUCGGUGAAGAGUGGCGAACGGGUGAGUAAUACAUAAGUAACCUGGCAUCUACAGGGGGAUAACUGAUGGAAACGUCAGCUAAGACCGCAUAGGUGUAGAGAUCGCAUGAACUCUAUAUGAAAAGUGCUACGGGACUGGUAGAUGAUGGACUUAUGGCGCAUUAGCUUGUUGGUAGGGUAACGGCCUACCAAGGCGACGAUGCGUAGCCGACCUGAGAGGGUGACCGGCCACACUGGGACUGAGACACGGCCCAGACUCCUACGGGAGGCAGCAGUAGGGAAUUUUCGGCAAUGGGGGAAACCCUGACCGAGCAACGCCGCGUGAAGGAAGAAGUAAUUCGUUAUGUAAACUUCUGUCAUAGAGGAAGAACGGUGGAUAUAGGGAAUGAUAUC
rnacentral:rRNA from 1 species